AUUGAACGCUGGCGGCAGGCCUAACACAUGCAAGUCGAACGAGUGGCGGACGGGUGAGUAAUGUCUGGGAAACUGCCUGAUGGAGGGGGAUCACCACUGGAAACGGUAGCUAAUACCGCAUACUAUGAGAUACGCCCAUAUGGGUUUAGCGUGUGGGUGGGGUACAGGCUCACCAAGGAGACGAUCCCUAGCUGGUCUGAGAGGAUGACCAGCCACACUGGGACUGAGACACGGUCCAUACUCCUACGGGAGGCAGCAGUGGGGAAUAUUGCACAAUGGGCGCAAGCCUGAUGCAGCCAUGCCGCGUGUAUGAAGAAGGCCUUCGGGUUGUAAAGUACUUUCAGCGGGGAGGCGUUACCCGCAGAAGAAGCACCGGCUAACUCCGUGCCAGCAGCCGCGGUAAUAC
rnacentral:rRNA from 1 species